rnacentral:rRNA from 1 species
GAUCCUGGCUCAGGAUGAACGCUAGCUACAGGCUUAACACAUGCAAGUCGAGGGGAAACGACAUCGAAAGCUUGCUUUUGAUGGGCGUCGACCGGCGCACGGGUGAGUAACGCGUAUCCAACCUGCCCAUCACUUGGGAAUAACCUUGCGAAAGUAAGACUAAUGCCCAAUGAUAUCGCCACGGAAGGCACUACCGAAGGUGGGUAAAUUAAAGUUAUUUACGUCGGUGAGUGGAGGGUGGGGAU